ACUGUGCAACCUAGGCUGACCUUGAAGUUACCAUCUUUAAUCUUUCCAAGGGCUGACAUUAGACCUAGCUUCCCCAGCCCGAGGUCUGGCUAUUUGGAGCCUCUUUCUCUGUCUGAUAGGUAUAGCACCCAGUAGUCUGAACAUCUGUUCCAGCUGAGGACCCCCACUCUUCCCGGAACUCUGGCUUUUCUGGACGCCUGGAGAGUAUGUACCUAAGUCUGUCUCUGCAACCUGAGACUUCAGCCACCCACUAGUGACCAAGUACCAGACACCUGUUCUGGGGACAGAAGCACUGGAGCCAUCAGAAGCAAGCUCCUGUGUGUGUUUCCAAGCUAUCUCACUGACCCUCGCUGCUCCACCUUGGAUGAUAGCCUGUAUCACGUUACUGCCCUACUCUUCUGAGACAGCAUCUUACUACACUUCUGUCUGCCCAGCGUGUCCUUUAUUAAUAAAACUGUUAAUUAAGUA